GUGGGGAAUUUUGGACAAUGGGGGGAACCCUGAUCCAGCCAUGCCGCGUGUGUGAAGAAGGCCUUUUGGUUGUAAAGCACUUUAAGCGAGGAGGAGGCUACCGAGAUUAAUACUCUUGGAUAGUGGACGUUACUCGCAGAAUAAGCACCGGCUAACUCUGUGCCAGCAGCCGCGGUAAUACAGAGGGUGCAAGCGUUAAUCGGAUUUACUGGGCGUAAAGCGCGCGUAGGUGGCCAAUUAAGUCAAAUGUGAAAUCCCCGAGCUUAACUUGGGAAUUGCAUUCGAUACUGGUUGGCUAGAGUAUGGGAGAGGAUGGUAGAAUUCCAGGUGUAGCGGUGAAAUGCGUAGAGAUCUGGAGGAAUACCGAUGGCGAAGGCAGCCAUCUGGCCUAAUACUGACACUGAGGUGCGAAAGCAUGGGGAGCAAACAGGAUUAGAAACCCUAGUAGUCC
rnacentral:rRNA from 1 species